CUGUACAACUUAAAUGUUAUAUAAAAGUAAAUGUAGAGUUCUGUUUUCGUUGAUGAGAAAAAUGUAUUAACACCUCCAUAGACAACAGACAAAAAAGGUUGAAAACAGUUUAUUUUCCUUAAGGCAUGUCAUUUUUAAAUUAUAUUCUAUUUUAUUGUUACUGAAAGAUAAGAUUUUGCGAUAUCUGUGAACUUAAUUGUAAGGUUUUAUAGAAUAAAUUAUAAUCCAAAGAGAUUAUUUUAAUUUAUAUCGAUUUACAAAGAUAAAAGAUAGAUAUGAGUGCGCAGUUUAUUAUUGCGGAUGACUACAAAUGAUGUAGUGUUAAUUUGUACAUCAUAUGAAAAUGGUUAUCAAUACUAUAUUCCUGGUGCUUGUGUGUGCGAGUUUGCCUUUGUUAUUGUUAUUUCUGAUAGGGUCUUUGGUAUUUAUGUUAUUUUACGAAAACAAGGGUCAUUUGCACACCAGUGAUUCUUUGACGAAGAACAGACUUAGCUUGGAUAUCACACGUCCAAGCCUAGCCCCGUCCCUGCCGCAGACGAUGAUGAUUAAUGCGUUCAGAACAAGUUUAUCGAGCGCUAAAAAUCCAUUUAAAGCAUGAAGUACUGAAUCCACUGAAUAUUCCAUUAACUCCCAAUGUUACCGAGUACUGUUGGUUAACAUGGACAUUAACAGCAAACGGUUUUCGGACGAUAAUAAUAUGGGGGCUAAAUAAAGUUUUGCUGUAAGAAUUUUGUAAAGAAUCAUUGCAAUAUCUCUUGAAUUUAAGUUUAAAUAAAAGUAUAGAAUGAAAGAUUUGCGUUCCUGUUGCUUUCACUCGUACUAUACUAUACCUGUAUUUUUUUUAUGUUAAAAACGUAAUCAUAAUCAAUUUAACGCGAAAUUUUAUUAUAUAGGAAAUAAAACUUUUAAUAUUUAAGAAACAUUGUUUUUCUUCAUGGAUAAAUGGUACAUUGAGCUUUAAUUUUUUAAAUUUUUAUAAUAACUACCAAAAAAUACUAAAUUUAAUAUAUUUGUUUAUAUUUUUGAGUAAAUAAUAAAUUUAUGACAUUAAAUAAAACCAUAUUGUUAAUUCAAAACAUUGAUUGUACUGCCUGUGCUCCAGGAUCCAAAAAGAAAUAGGUGUUUAACAUUUUUGGCUGUCCUUUUAUUUUUGACGUUUGACUUACCUUUGUUUAAAUGUAAAGUCAUCUGAGCUUCAUUUUCAAAUCUUAGCCAUUUAGCAAAAAAACUUAUCUAAGAUUCAAAUAAUAAAAUGUAAGAUAAUUUAAUUCAGAGUUAAAAGCGAGGGAUGCUGGAAAUUGAAUGUUACAAUCAUUCUAGUGGCAACUAUCUUUGUCUAUGAGAAGACAGAUAUGAAUUAAUGUAGUCAAAUGCAUGUAAUAUAUAUUACCUUCAAAAAUAUCAUGUUAAUAUUUCUGACGAUUAUAUAAAUAAAUAGUUGUUUAAGCGAAAA